rnacentral:rRNA from 1 species
GACGAGCCACCCAAACGUUAUUCGGAAUUACUGGGCUUAAAGGGUGCGUAGGCGGUGCAGCAAGUCGGGAGUGAAAUACCUCAGCUUAACUGAGGAACUGCUUUCGAUACUGCUGUGCUUGAGUAAGACAGAGGUAAGCGGAACUUAGGGUGGAGCGGUGAAAUGCGUUGAUAUCCUAAGGAACACCGGUGGCGAAAGGCGG